rnacentral:rRNA from 2 species
GAGUUUGAUCUUGGCUCAGAACGAACGCUGGCGGCAGGCUUAACACAUGCAAGUCGAACGCCCCGCAAGGGGAGUGGCAGACGGGUGAGUAACGCGUGGGAACAUACCCUUUCCUGCGGAAUAGCUCCGGGAAACUGGAAUUAAUACCGCAUACGCCCUACGGGGAAGAUUUAUCGGGAGGAUUGGCCCGCGUUGGAUUAGCUAGUUGGUGGGGUAAAGGCCUACCAAGGCGACGAUCCAUAGCUGGUCUGAGAGGAUGAUCAGCCACAUUGGGACUGAGACACGGCCCAAACUCCUACGGGAGGCAGCAGUGGGGAAUAUUGGACAAUGGGCGCAAGCCUGAUCCAGCCAUGCCGCGUGAGUGAUGAAGGCCUUAGGGUUGUAAAGCUCUUUCACCGGAGAAGAUAAUGACGGUAUCCGGAGAAGAAGCCCCGGCUAACUUCGUGCCAGCAGCCGCGGUAAC